rnacentral:rRNA from 1 species
CCUACGGGAGGCAGCAGUGGGGAAUAUUGCACAAUGGGGGAAACCCUGAUGCAGCGACGCCUCGUGAGUGAAGAAGUAAUUCGUUAUGUAAAGCUCUAUCAGCAGGGAAGAAAAUGACGGUACCUGAGUAAGAAGCCCCGGCUAACUACGUGCCAGCAGCCGCGGUAAUACGUAGGGGGCAAGCGUUAUCCGGAUUUACUGGGUGUAACGGGAGCGUAGACGGCAGUGCAAGUCUGGAGUGAAAGGCGGGGGCUCAACCCCCGGACUGCUCUGGAAACUGUACGGCUGGAGUGCAGGAGAGGUAAGUGGAAUUCCUAGUGUAGCGGUGAAAUGCGUAGAUAUUAGGAGGAACACCAGUGGCGAAGGCGGCUUACUGGACUGUAACUGACGUUGAGGCUCGAAAGCGUGGGGAGCAAACAGGAUUAGAUACCCCAGUAGUC